UCCUCUCAGUAGUAAUAAAUAUAAAUGACCCUGUUUACACAUAUAUAUAUAAAUGAUAUACAUACAUAUGUGUACAGGGUCAUUUUGACAUUGCGUUACUAA
rnacentral:pre_miRNA from 1 species